CUGCAACUGCCUCUCAGAAAUCCUUCAGUGCCUCUAGGGUUUACUAAUUGGCCUCUAAUUCAGAGCAAACUGGGAAGUGAUAACAAAGAGGAUGAAGAGAUUGGAAAUGGAGAGAAAGGAAGCUGGCCUUCUGUCUUGAAGAGCAGAGGCAAGUCAUAGCAGGAUGCCAUGGAGAUGCAAAACUGGAGGGAUCAGAGAACUCAAUUUGCAGUUAAAUGCUGUAAACAAUGCUUACAAGUUCGUCAAAGAAAAUGAUUAAAAAUAUACUUGGUUGCCAGAGG